rnacentral:ncRNA from 1 species
UUUAUUGCUGUGAAGGAAAGGAGUACUUAAUUACCUCUAUAAGAGCGAACCUAGGAUGGUGCAAGCUAGGUAUAGAGCAUUAAGGAAGGGCGUUCCUGAGCAAUUUGUAAUAAAGGUGGUCGGCAAAAAUCCGGCAAAUAGGGUGGAACCGCGGGAAAAACUCUCGUCCCUAUG